UACGUAGGGUCCGAGCGUUGUCCGGAAUUAUUGGGCGUAAAGGGCUCGUAGGCGGUUUUGUCGCGUCGGGAGUGAAAACAUCUGGCUUAACUGGGUGCUUGCUUUCGAUACGGGCAGGCUAGAGUUCGGUAGGGGAGACUGGAAUUCCUGGUGUAGCGGUGAAAUGCGCAGAUAUCAGGGGGAACACCGGUGGCGAAGGCGGGUCUCUGGGCCGAUACUGACGCUGAGGAGCGAAAGCGUGGGGAGCGAACAGG
rnacentral:rRNA from 1 species